ACGCACGCUGGCGGCGUGCCUAAUACAUGCAAGUUGAGCGCUGAAGGUUGGUACUUGUACCAACUGGAUGAGCAGCGAACGGGUGAGUAACGCGUGGGGAAUCUGCCUUUGAGCGGGGGACAACAUUUGGAAACGAAUGCUAAUACCGCAUAAAAACUUUAAACACAAGUUUUAAGUUUGAAAGAUGCAAUUGCAUCACUCAAAGAUGAUCCCGCGUUGUAUUAGCUAGUUGGUGAGGUAAAGGCUCACCAAGGCGAUGAUACAUAGCCGACCUGAGAGGGUGAUCGGCCACAUUGGGACUGAGACACGGCCCAAACUCCUACGGGGGGCAGCAGUAGGGAAUCUUCGGCAAUGGACGAAAGUCUGACCGAGCAACGCCGCGUGAGUGAAGAAGGUUUUCGGAUCGUAAAACUCUGUUGGUAGAGAAGAACGUUGGUGAGAGUGGAAAGCUCAUCAAGUGACGGUAACUACCCAGAAAGGGACGGCUAACUACGUG
rnacentral:rRNA from 1 species